GAAGUCGCAGGUCUUCCCGCCUGUCAUGAACACACCAAGCAGACCUGUCAGGAGCUUCCAGCCCAGUGCUCUCAUCUCCAACUGCUCACCAGCAGCCAGGGCCAAGGGAGGAAGAAAGAGGCUGGCAAACAUUUCAUGCAACUGGUAAGCUUUUCUUCUUUUCUUUUUACUGGUUUAGGCCAAAGUAUUUUUCUCCCAAUUUUUUAGGGAACUGAUUAUGCACUGACUUGAGAAUAUUUUGUUUCAGUGUCAGAAAACAUCUUAAGUAGACAGUAAUGAAAUCUCCAGAGCAUGAAGGAAACCCAAGUUAAGCAACUUGGAAUGGACUGCAGUCUUGAUGAAGAAUCUGAGUCUCAAGUAUAGAAGUAUAGUAGUCCAUUAUUCAGUGACAACAACAAACCACUUGUUUGUUUCAUCCCAGCUGCCAUUCCAUGCAAUAUU